AAGGAAGAAAAGCACGACUUAGAUCUGCUCAACAGUUUGAUGAGAUCGGUGCUACAUUCUUUAUGACCAUGAACAAGUUUGAUAAGCCGAAUAUGCGAUGACACGCAUAGAGGUGCUGCUGUUAGGAUUCUAUUCUAUUGGGGUGUCUCAAUCGUACACAUUUAUUGUGCCGAUCUGUAGUGAAUUUUUUAGCCCUUCCCAACUCUAGCCCUUUGGCCCUGCAAAGUGCGACUGAAGAGAUGAGGGCAAACCUUACAGAUGCCGAGUCUGCAGGGCUGGAUUAGUGGUUCCAUGAUGCUCAGGCUGAAGAGAUUUACUGCCCUUGACAGUUGAAAUGCAUAACGACCAAACGCUGCGUAGUGAAGGAUAGAAAAUCAAAUACAUACGUACAUACAUAUAUACACGAAUAUAAAUCCGUUAUGUUUGCGUGAAAAACAUAUGGUAUUAUCGUUCACAGCUUUGCCACGUGCGACACUCAGGAUAUGAGGAAGUGUCAGGCAAAACUUGAAAAUGUGGCUUUAACAGUCGAUGUUUGUGUGGUCAAAUGGCAUGUUGGCCACAAUCUCAAGCUCGAAUUCAUUCAGGUUAAAUAUAUUGUUUUAACCCGGAAGGUCGCAGCUUUUCCCAUCCCAAGGAAAAUACCCUUACGUUACGCCACAACCCAAAUGAGAUAUUAUAAUUUCUAUCCAACAUGAGGAUUAAAGAACGUGGGGGUGGAGACUAUCAUCUGUGUGGCAGUUUGCAGGUGUACAGGUGUGCCUUUCAAGCUCACCCCUGUUAAGGAAUACAAUAAACAUGAAAAUUUAGCUACUGAUCCAGGAGUAAUAAUCAGCAAUUCAGCAAGGUUUUAUGAUUCACAUGGUACAGUGCAAUCAGGGGGUUGAAUUGAGACCAACCUCUCCAAGCUUGCUGUGACUUGGAUGUUCAAGUUUCGUCCAAGUGGACACAGUCGAACCAUGAAAAAGGUUUGGAAAUUUUAGUCCAGUCCCAAGUAAGGUGGAUUAAACGAUAGAAGAAAACAGACCUGGGAGAAUGAGUUCCGCAUGGCCGAAAGAUUGUUCCACCGAUCGAUCGUCUUGUCAAUGGACCAUGCAUAAAAACCAGACACAUUCACCGUAUGGAAGUCGAGGCAAAGAAACUGAUUCAUCUGCUUCCUCGAUACAAGUGUACUCUGAGCACACCGGUGACCCUUGUGCAAGCCCCCCCGACUGGGCUCACCACCCAUGUCUAAAAACUGUGCCUCCCCAAGACCGAAGUAUCUUUCGACAAAAAAAUAUUUUAAAGUGGAUGGGGGAAUAUAUAUCUCCAACACCCAGUGAAAGUUUCUGCGACUACAUUACGCGAUGCAUUGCGACUGCGGAGCAAGAGCUCAAGAUGCAAAAGAAGUUGCAUAUUGGGGACGACUACCACCACCAUGUGGAUAAGCUUGUGUUUAAGCUUUUCUAUGGUUCCCGGAUAGCAAUGCAACGACUCGGAAUACAACAGAAGCUUGGGACAGAGGAGCUUGUGUUGCGGUUGCUGAGAGAAGAGUGCGCAUCCCAGAUUAGUCAAGGAUUUUUGAGGCUUGACCCCAGUAGCUUCAACAAUUCAUCGAAAACGCCGACAUGGCCUUCCCGAGAAGAUGUCGCCCUCCAUACUGUCCAACAAAUGCCUCCAGGUGUUGAAAAUUUAGCAGAAAUGGAUUCUCGCUAGUCGAUUCAUGGUGAUUUAUGGCAGAGUUAUGUUGUGAGACUGUCGACUGUUAGAUUUACUUAGAUUGAGGUGAGACAGUGUGUGAAUUAUGUCCAGGGCAUUCGGUGUGCUUAAAGCAGUGAACCCAAGUGUGAUUGGUAAGUUCUUCUCAUUCAGUUGUCGUCCCCCCAAAUCUUCUCUUGAAUUUUCUGAAAAGAUUUAAGACUACAAUUACAUAAAUAAAACAUAUUGCAAAGUA